rnacentral:rRNA from 1 species
UAGUCCACGCCGUAAACGAUGUCAACUAGCCGUUUGUGUCCUUGAGACGUGAGUGGCGCAGCUAACGCACUAAGUUGACCGCCUGGGGAGUACGGCCGCAAGGUUAAAACUCGAAUGAAUUGACGGGGGCCCGCACAAGCGGUGGAGCAUGUGGUUUAAUUCGAUGCAACGCGAAGAACCUUACCAUCCCCUGACAUCCAGAGAAGCGACUAGAGAUAGACGUGUGCCUUCGGGAACUCUGUGGCAGGUGCUGCAUGGCUGUCGUCAGCUCGUGUUGUGAAAUGUUGGGUUAAGUCCCGCAACGAGCGCAACCCCUAUCCUUAUUUGCCAGCGCGUAAUGGCGGGAACUCUAAGGAGACUGCCGGUGAUAAACCGGAGGAAGGUGGGGACGACGGUCAAGUCAUCAUGGGCCCUUACGGGGAUGGGGCUACACACGUGCUACAAUGGCAGGUACAGAGGGCAGCAAUACCGCGAGGUGGAGCGAA